rnacentral:rRNA from 1 species
AAGUCGAACGAAGUAGCAAUACUUAGUGGCAGACGGGUGAGUAAUAUGUAGGUAUCUUCCCAUUGGUGAGGAAUAACACGAGGAAACUUGUGCUAAUACCUCAUAAGUCUUUACGGAGAAAGCUUUAUGCGCCAAUGGAUGAGCCUGCACUUGAUUAGUUUGUUGGUAGGGUAAUGGCCUACCAAGACAAUGAUCAAUAGCUGAUUUGAGAGGAUGAUCAGCCACAUUGGGACCGAGACACGGCCCAAACUCCUACGGGAGGCAGCAGUAGGGAAUCUUGCACAAUGGGGGAAACCCUGAUGCAGCGAUGCCGCGUGAGUGAAGAAGGCCUUUGGGUUGUAAAGCUCUUUCGUCGGGGAAGAAAAUGACUGUACCCGAAUAAGAAGGUCCGGCUAACUUCGUGCCAGCAGCCGCGGUAAUACGAAGGGACCUAGCGUAGUUCGGAAUUACUGGGCUUAAAGAGUUCGUAGGUGGUUAAAAAAGUUGGUGGUGAAAUCCCAGAGCUUAACUCUGGAACUGCCAUCAAAACUUUUUAGCUAGAGUAUGAUAGAGGAAAGCAGAAUUUCUAGUGUAGAGGUGAAAUUCGUAGAUAUUAGAAAGAAUACCGAUUGCGAAGGCAGCUUUCUGGAUCAUUACUGACACUGAGGAACGAAAGCAUGGGUAGCGAAGAGGAUUAGAUACCCUCGUAGUCCAUGCCGUAAACGAUGUGUGUUAGACGUUGGAAAUUUAUUUUCUGUGUCGCAGCGAAAGCAAUAAACACACCGCCUGGGGAGUACGACCG